GAUAUCUGGUUUAAUGCACCUGGCCCGCGGCCAAUAGGCUUGUGAGUGCCGGUGUGCGUUUACCAUCUUUCUAGAAAACGAUUCUGCCAUUAACUUGGUGGGAUCGCGAUCUAGAUCUUUUACUUUGAAAAAAUUAGAGUGUUUAAAGCAAGCUUUUGCUAUGAAUACAUUAGCAUGGAAUAAUAAUUUAGGACUUCGGUUCUAUUUUGUUGGUUUUCAGAACUGAAGUAAUGAUUGAUAGGGACAGUUGGGGAUGCUGAUAUUCAUUGGCCAGAGGUGAAAUUCUUGGAUUCAAUGAAGAUCAACUCAUGCGAAAGCAUU
rnacentral:rRNA from 1 species